AUGGCUAAAACAACAGCUCCAUCUGUCUAUCCCUUGGUGCCUGGCUGCGGUGUCACGUCUAAAUCCCUGGUGACACUAGGAUGCCUUCUCAAAGGCUAUUUCCCUGAGCUGAUAACCAUAAAAUGGAACUCUGGAUCACUGUCCAACGGUGUGAAAACCUUCCCAGCUGUCCUGCAGUCUGGACUCUACUCCCUCAGCAGCUCAGUGACUGUAUCCUCCAGAACCUGGUCCUCAAAGACCAUCACUUGCAACGUAGAACACCCGGCCAGCAAAACCAAGGUGGACAAGACCAUUGCUCCUGACCUCCCUGGUGGACCAUCCGUCUAUAUCUUCCCCCCAAAGCCCAAGGAUAUACUCAUGAUCUCCCAGAAUGCCAAAGUCACAUGUUUGGUGGUGGACGUGAGCGAGGAUGAUGCAGACAUUCAGUUCAGCUGGUUUGUGGACAACGUAGAAGUACACACAGCUCAGAUGCAGCCCCGUGAGGAGCAGUACAACAGCACCUUCCGGGUGGUCAGUGCCCUCCCCAUUGAGCACCGGGACUGGAUGGCCGGCAAGGAGUUCAAAUGCAAGGUCACCAACAAAGCCCUCCCAGGCCCCAUCGAGAGAAAAAUCUCAAAACCCACAGGGCUAGUCAGAGCACCACAGGUAUAUGUCUUGCCUCCACCAGCAGAGCAGAUGGCCAAGAAAGAGGUCAGUUUGACCUGCAUGGUCACAGGCUUCCUCCCUGAUGACAUCGAUGUGGAGUGGACCAGAAACGGGCAUGUGGAGCAGAACUACAAGAACACCCCACCAGUCCUGGACUCUGAUGGUUCUUACUUCUUAUACAGCAAGCUCAAUGUGCCAAAGAGCAAAUGGGACCAAGGAGAUAGUUACAUCUGCUCAGUGGUACACAUGGGCCUGCACAAUCACCACAUGACGAAGAGCAUCUCCCGGUCUCUGGAGCUGGAACUGGAGGAGACCUGUGUUGAGGCCCAGGAAGGGGAGCUGGACGGGCUCUGGACAACCAUCACCAUCUUCAUCAGCCUCUUCCUGUUCAGUGUGUGCUACAGCGCCUCUGUCACACUCUUCAAGGUAAAGUGGAUCUUCUCCUCAGUGGUGGAGCUCAAGCAGAAAAUCUCCCCUGACUACAGAAACAUGAUUGGGCAGGGGGCCUAGGCCUCUUCCUUUGGGAUCAGCACAGAUUCAUAGUCCCUGCAGUACUCUAUCCAUCCUACUGUGUAGCCUGACAUGGAGGCCACACUGCCCAAUGACAUCACACGC